CUUUUUGAACACCUGCAAAAACCUCCGGUUGUAAGGUGGGGUUCGUGUCAUUCAGUUUUCAGUUUUCUACUUUGAGUUUUGUAGACUGGUGUUUGUCUUCUGCUCGCUUUUCAUUUUAUUACCAUGGCAUUGUUAGUGUAUCUUUGAAUUAUUGUUUGAAUGCCCCUUUGGUAUCUUUCGUCUCGUUUUGGGUUUCCAUCUGAACAUUUGGAUGUAGUAAUUUUCAUAACAUGUACAGCAAUAAAACUAUGUUGAUAAUAUCUUGUGACCGAGGUCUUUUUGUAAAAAAAGAGAUACUAAACCAACGGGAACAAGUGCCAGCUAGGGUACUGACACC
rnacentral:lncRNA from 1 species